rnacentral:rRNA from 1 species
ACGGGUGAGUAAUGUCUGGGAAACUGCCUGAUGGAGGGGGAUAACUACUGGAAACGGUAGCUAAUACCGCAUAACGUCGCAAGACCAAAGAGGGGGACCUUCGGGCCUCUUGCCAUCGGAUGUGCCCAGAUGGGAUUAGCUAAUAGGUGGGGUAACGGCUCACCUAGGCGACGAUCCCUAGCUGGUCUGAGAGGAUGACCAGCCACACUGGAACUGAGACACGGUCCAG